ensembl:snRNA U6 U6 spliceosomal RNA
GUGCUUUCUUCAGCAGCACACAUAAUGAAAUUUGAGUGAUACAAAAUUUAACAUGGCCCUUGGGCAAGGAUGGCAAACAAAUUCAUGAUGCACUAUGUAUUUUU